GAUGAACGCUGGCGGCGUGCCUAAUACAUGCAAGUCGAGCGAACAGACGAGGAGCUUGCUCCUCUGAUGUUAGCGGCGGACGGGUGAGUAACACGUGGAUAACCUACCUAUAAGACUGGGAUAACUUCGGGAAACCGGAGCUAAUACCGGAUAACAUGUUGAACCGCAUGGUUCAACAGUGAAAGGCGGUCUUGCUGUCACUUAUAGAUGGAUCCGCGCCGCAUUAGCUAGUUGGUAAGGUAACGGCUUACCAAGGCAACGAUGCGUAGCCGACCUGAGAGGGUGAUCGGCCACACUGGAACUGAGACACGGUCCAGACUCCUACGGGAGGCAGCAGUAGGGAAUCUUCCGCAAUGGGCGAAAGCCUGACGGAGCAACGCCGCGUGAGUGAAGAAGGUCUUCGGACCGUAAAACUCUGUUAUUAGGGAAGAACAAAUGUGUAAGUAACUAUGCACGUCUUGACGGUACCUAAUCAGAAAGCCACGGCUAACUACGUG
rnacentral:rRNA from 1 species